rnacentral:rRNA from 1 species
GACGAACGCUGGCGGCGUGCCUAAUACAUGCAAGUCGAACGCAGUGGGGACGGGUGAGUAACACGUGGGUAACCUCCCAUCAGAGGGGAUAACACUUGGAAACAGGUGCUAAACCGAUACUGAUGGAUGGACACGCGGUGCAUUAGCUAGUUGGUGAGGUAACGGCUCACCAAGGACACGAUGCAGAGCAGACCUGCGAGGGGGAUGGGCUAAACUGGGACUGAGACACGGCCCAGACUCCUACGGGAGGCAGCAGUAGGGAAUUGGCGGCAAUGGAAGAAAGUCUGACCGAGCAACGCCGCGUGAGUGAAGAAGGUUUUCGGAUCUUAAAACUCUGUUGUUAGAGAAGCGGUAUCUAACCAGAUAGCCCCGGCGAACUACGUGCGAGCGGCCGCGGUAAUAC